rnacentral:rRNA from 1 species
CGCUGUGAAGAUGCAGUGUACCCGCGGCAAGACGGAAAGACCCCGUGAACCUUUACUAUAGCUUGACACUGAACAUUGAGCCUUGAUGUGUAGGAUAGGUGGGAGGCUUUGAAGUGUGGACGCCAGUCUGCGUGGAGCCGACCUUGAAAUACCACCCUUUAAUGUUUGAUGUUCUAACGUGGACCCGUAAUCCGGGUUGCGGACAGUGUCUGGUGGGUAGUUUGACUGGGGCGGUCUCCUCCUAAAGAGUAACGGAGGAGCACGAAGGUUGGCUAAUCCUGGUCGGACAUCAGGAGGUUAGUGCAAUGGCAUAAGCCAGCUUGACUGCGAGCGUGACGGCGCGAGCAGGUGCGAAAGCAGGUCAUAGUGAUCCGGUGGUUCUGAAUGGAAGGGCCAUCGCUCAACGGAUAAAAGGUACUCCGGGGAUAACAGGCUGAUACCGCCCAAGAGUUCAUAUCGACGGCGGUGUUUGGCACCUCGAUGUCGGCUCAUCACAUCCUGGGGCUGAAGUAGGUCCCAAGGGUAUGGCUGUUCGCCAUUUAAAGUGGUACGCGAGCUGGGUUUAGAACGUCGUGAGACAGUUCGGUCCCUAUCUGCCGUGGGCGCUGGAGAACUGAGGGGGGCUGCUCCUAGUACGAGAGGACCGGAGUGGACGCAUCACUGGUGUUCGGGUUGUCAUGCCAAUGGCACUGCCCGGUAGCUAAAUGCGGAAGAGAUAAGUGCUGAAAGCAUCUAAGCACGAAACUUGCCCCGA